UCCACCUCUAAUGAACAGCUGAAUAGAAUAACAAUAAUCACAAAUUGAACCACCUGAGUUACAAACAAUUAUGCGAUUUAACGCAGCCGUCUUAUAGCGCCCGUGCCACGCCCACACGCGAUGCGAACAGGCGACCAAGCCAAGGUGUCGCCACGAAUCCUGCAACCGAGAACCGAACCAGAGCGUCGGGAAUCCAGAGUGCGGAGCACCCAGUAGUAAAUUCCGGGGAAAACACAUUAAAAUAGUAUGUCUACGGAGGAGCAUGUGUGGCGAGCGCAUGUUGUGCGGCGACUGCGCGAGCGGAACCGCAAGGAGUGCGACAACUUCAAGGAGAUCAUCGAGCAAAACAACCGACUGAUCGACCAUGUGGCGCAGCUGAAGGCGGACAACCUUAAGAUCUCUGUGGAAAACGAACAGCUACGCAGCGCGGUGUCAACAGGUGGCACCGGUUCCAACGUGGCCAUCGCCACCCUCGAGAAGAAGCUGCUCAGCCAGCAGGAGGAGCUCACCGACCUGCACAAACGCAAGGGCGAGAAUUCCCAGAUGAUCGUCGAUCUCAACCAGAAGGUCGAGCAGCAAAGGAUCAUCAUUUCCGAAAAGGAGCACAGCCUCGCAGAGCAGCAGACGAAUAACAAUCGAUUGCGCGCUGAAGUGCAGCUACUUCACUCAAAUUUGGAGGAACUCAAGAAACUGAAUAACACCAUGUUAGAUGAACAUACAGCGCUUCAAUUGGCAUUUAGCUCCCUCGAGGACAAACUGAGAGGAGUACAAGAUGAAAAUCGUCGUUUACUGGAACGACUUAUGCAAUACAAGUCAAAGGAUGCGGACAAGUUGAACGAGGAAAACGAGAGCAUAAUAAGAAAAAGACUGCCGUCAAUUUUCAGGAAACGUUCGGCCAAACUGAAACGUGACCUCGAAGACGCGGUCCGUGAGCCCGGCUCCUCGUCCAGCAAUACCGCCUCCUCGCCUGGCGCCGCAUCCUUGCAGCGCAACUCCAGUCCCGCCCAAUUCGUUGGGGGUCUCAUCGGCGACGAGGACUUCGACGAGGCAGCGAUGAAUGGCGCCAUGGAGGCCAUAGGUCUCGAUGAUAAUGAAUAUAUUAGCGCUCGUUUUACAGCAGGCGCCGAGAUUGGCGAGAACUCCCGUGCUUCCAUCGACACCCUGAAGGCCACGGGCUACAUGGGCCAGGCCAAUCCGACCAAGAUCCUAAUGAAAUUCGAGGCACACGAGAACGAGUCGCACGCGGUGCGCUGGAGUCCCGUGGAGCGGAUGGUGGCCACCGGUGGCGCCGAUCGCAAAGUCAAACUUUGGGAUAUUGGCAAAAAUUCCACCGAACCACGUGCAAUUUUAAGCGGAAGCAGUGCAGGGAUUAAUUCCGUAGACUUCGAUUCAACAGGUGCCUAUAUAUUGGGCACCUCCAACGACUACGGUGCCAGAGUGUGGACAGUGAUGGAUAAUCGAUUAAGGCACACGCUGACGGGUCACAGUGGCAAAGUGAUGGCUGCCAAAUACGUCCAAGAGCCCAUUAAAGUGGUGACCGGAAGCCAUGAUCGCACUCUAAAGAUCUGGGAUUUGCGCAGUAUCGCCUGCAUAGAGACGAAAUUCGCCGGAUCAAGUUGCAAUGAUCUCGUGACCACCGACAGCCUGGGCUCAACGAUAAUCAGCGGGCACUACGAUAAGAAGAUCCGGUUCUGGGAUAUACGCACGGAAAAGCAGGCAGAUGAUGUCUUGAUGCCGGCCAAAAUCACCUCUUUGGACUUGUCAAAGGAUUGCAAUUACCUCAUAUGCUCUGUAAGAGAUGAUACUAUUAAAUUAUUAGAUUUACGCAAAAAUCAAGUUAUAUCCACGUUUACAAACGAACACUUUAAAAUCAGCUGUGAUUUUGCUCGGGCUUCUUUCAACUCGAGCGGCCUAAAGAUUGCAUGUGGAUCAGCGGAUGGCGCUAUAUAUAUUUGGAAUGUGAAUGGUUUCCUAGAAGCCACUCUCAAGGGACACAGCACUGCCGUGAACGCGGUCAGUUGGAGCCCCAACAAUAACUUGCUGGCUUCCGUUGGAAAGAACAAACGUUGCACUAUCUAUUCGGAUUCAUAACCCCAAAUGUUGCCAUAAAACCGUCAGUCAGUUCCAUUUCACUGAAACGCUUAAAAGUCAGAGCUGUAAUUAUAGAACGGCCUUGCGGAGUCUGCUGUAAAUAGUAAAUUCGGUUGGCGAAUGGUCAAGCACCUGUGGUUUGGCCAUAAAAGAAAAAACACGACGAUUUCAGACAAUAAAGCUCAGCCAGCAAAACUUCUUGGGCAUCCUUCGAACGUGAUGCAUUUUAAUUUCUGCAUAUGUGAUCAAUUCUUAGCACGAAUGCUGUGCCAUUGGCGAGAACACAUCCAAUUAUUUCGUGUGCUGACGGAGCACAAUCGACACUGGGGAAUCUCUAAUUGAGCGAGGAAAAUAACCACGGCACCAUCAUUACAAAUCUAACAUUAUGCCUGAAAAACAACUACAACUUAGCGUUAAGUACCUCCAGAGCGAUCUAAAAUCGUAAGUACUCGGUACUGCAACCCUGGGCACUCUAGGUACUGGGUACCACUCGAGGUAGUGUCGUUGAAGGCGCAUUGCUAAGUAAAUUAAUUGAGAGAGAAGAGGAAUCCAGUCACCCAACUGGACAGAUGAGAAGGAGGAGGAGGAGCCAGAUGCUAGAUGCCAGAAGCCAGGAGCUAAGUGACGGGCAGACGAUUGGACGUGGACAGGAGUCACUUUCCCGUAUGCGAGAGCGUUCCUCCAGCAGAUAAAGAUACAAAUCUGCACGAAGCCUGUUUCCUGUUGUGCUGAGGGUGCAUUUAUUUGCAUGAUUCACACAAGCGCUGCGGCUAACGAUACUUAUACAGCUGCUGGAUCUUCGUACAGGUGUACGCCAUCACCAUCUACUGGGUACUCCAAACUCUAAGCUCUAAACUCCAUACUCCAUACUGCAUACUCCAUAAUGAAGAUGGGACGUCGAGUCGCUGGGAAAACUUACGAAAACAAGCACGACAUUUGGACCUUUCUGCCUUUCUGCCCACAUCGAAAAGUGAAUCGCUGCCUUCCCUUCCUCAUCUUUAUUUUGUGGCUGAGGAUUUAUUUUGUCGGAUUCGGAUUCGUGCAUUUUGGGCGACUCUAAGUGAGCAUGUUCCUGGAAGCCCUCGAGUCGCCUUUUACAGUUGGAUGCAUUUUAAGUCUUAUUGAAGUAUAAAUAAUAAUUCGCAGGUG